rnacentral:tRNA from 1 species
GCCCCGGUAGCUCAACGGAUAGAGCAAGUGGGUUCUAACCAUUAGGUUGGGGGUUCGAUUCCCUCCCGGGGUACCA